rnacentral:rRNA from 1 species
GAUGAACGCUGGCGGCGUGCUUAACACAUGCAAGUCGUACGGUGAAGCAGGAGCUUGCUCUUGUGGAUCAGUGGCGAACGGGUGAGUAACACGUGAGCAACCUGCCCCUGACUCUGGGAUACGCGCUGGAAACGGCGUCUCAUACUGGACAUGUGAUGUGACCGCAUGGUCUGCAUCUGGAAAGAAUUUCGGUUGGGGAUGGGCUCGCGGGCGAUCAGCUUGGUGGUGAGGUAAUGGCUCACCAAAGCGUCGACGGGUAGCCGGCCUGAGAGGGUGACCGGCCACACGGGGACGAAGACACGGCCAAGACUCCUACGGGAGGCAGCAGUGGGGAAUAUUGCACAAUGGGCGGAAGCCUGAUGCAGCAACGCCGCGUGAGGGAUGACGGCCUUCGGGUUGUAACCUCUUUUAGCAGGGAAGAAGCGAAAGUGACGGUACCUGCAGAAAAAGCACCGGCUAACUACGUGCCAGCCGCCGCAGUAA